rnacentral:snoRNA from 1 species
AUUCAAUUAAAAGUUAUUAUUUGGGGCUGUUAAGUGCUAUGUUGUCAUUCCCCCUGCUCAAAACAAUGUUGUUUUUUAACUAUGCCUAUCUGCUAGACACUUGUAGCAGCCAGGGACACUUGGUCUCAUACAU